UACGAAGGGGACUAGCGUUGUUCGGAAUCACUGGGCGUAAAGCGCACGUAGGCGGAUAUGUCAGUCAGGGGUGAAAGCCCUCGGCUUAACCGAGGAAGUGCGUCUGAAACUGCUGAGCUUGAGUGUCGGAGAGGAUGGCGGAAUUCCGCAAGUAGAGGUGAAAUUCGUAGAUAUGCGGAGGAACACCGGUGGCGAAGGCGGCCAUCUGGACGACUACUGACGCUGAGACGCGAAAGCGUGGGGAGCAAACAGG
rnacentral:rRNA from 1 species